AUUGAACGCUGGCGGCAGGCCUAACACAUGCAAGUCGAACGGUAGCACAGAGAGCUUGCUCUCGGGUGACGAGUGGCGGACGGGUGAGUAAUGUCUGGGAAACUGCCCGAUGGAGGGGGAUAACUACUGGAAACGGUAGCUAUACCGCAUAACGUCGCCAGACCAAAGUGGGGGCCCUUCGGGCCUCGCACCAUCGGAUGUGCCUAGAUGGGAUUAGCAAGUAGGAGGGGUAAUGGCUCACCUCGGCGACGAUCCCUUGCUAGUCUGAGAGGAUGACCAGACACAGUGGAACUGAGACACGGGCCAGACUCCUACGGGAGGCAGCAGUGGGGAAUAUUGCACAAUGGGCGCAAGCCUGAUUCAGCCAUGCCGCGUGUAUGAAGAAGGCCUUGGGGUUGUAAAGUACUUUCAGCGGGGAGGAAGGCGGUGGAGUUAAUAACUUCACCGAUUGACGUUACCCGCAGAAGAAGCACCGGCUAACUCCGUGCCAGCCGCCGCAGUAA
rnacentral:rRNA from 1 species